rnacentral:rRNA from 1 species
AGAUACGGCCCAGACUCUUACGGGAGGCAGCAGUGGGGAAUAUUGCACAAUGGGCGCAAGCCUGAUGCAGCGACGCCGCGUGGGGGAUGACGGCCUUCGGGUUGUAAACUCCUUUCGCCAGGGACGAAGCGUUUUGUGACGGUACCUGGAGAAGAAGCACCGGCUAACUACGUGCCAGCAGCCGCGGUAAUACGUAGGGUGCAAGCGUUGUCCGGAAUUACUGGGCGUAAAGAGCUCGUAGGUGGUUUGUCACGUCGUCUGUGAAAUUCCACAGCUUAACUGUGGGCGUGCAGGCGAUACGGGCUGACUUGAGUACUGUAGGGGUAACUGGAAUUCCUGGUGUAGCGGUGAAAUGCGCAGAUAUCAGGAGGAACACCGAUGGCGAAGGCAGGUUACUGGGCAGUUACUGACGCUGAGGAGCGAAA